UCUAAAAGCUGCAGGACUCCAGGUUCCCUUCUGGGACAGAUGGAUAAUAUCAAAGAGUCAAAAACUACCAGAUGUUUUUCAUCUGGUUUCUGGUUGCAGAAGCUGCAAAGCAGCAGCACAGAGGAAGAUUCUGCACAGAAUCAUUAAAUCUGCCCAGAGGAACAUUGGCUGCUCUCUAGGACUCCACCGGUCCGGUCCGGUCUGGUCCGGUUCGGUCCGGUCCGGUCCGGCUGCCUCAGGACAACCAGGAGCGACUUGUCACAGCUGGACGCCAUCAGCUCCAAGCAUACUGCCAGCAUUUCCAGACCGAGCUGCUCGUCCAGAGAAGAGCUUCUGCUGUGACCUCUCUAUCACCGUUCCUUGCUGACCUUUGACACCGACUCUGUGUUUGUGUCUGCAGCCUGAGAGACGGUUGAGUCUGAAACACAGAAGAUCAGCUGAACAGCUCUCCUGUUGUCGCCUGGUUCACGCGCUGGCCUCAGUGGCCGGGUUUCUCCGGAUCGGCCGUUUCCUCCUGAAACACGGUGGACUGACCGCCGACCGAAACGCAGCGUCUGAAGAGAAAGUGACGAAUGAGAGUCGAGUAUUUGAGGAUUUUUCCAGGAAGAAUCUCCCUGCAGACGAAUCUCUGCUCACAUGGCUGGUCGUUAUUCUCAAUUCAAAGACUAUAUAAAGACAAAAUAUUUUCAAUUCAGAAAUUCUUUUUGCAUCUAAAUUAUUGAAUAAGUAUCUAAUGGAAUAAUAAUAGAAACAUUUUCAUCUGUUAGAGUCUGUGUAAUGAAUUAAGUGACACUAACAGGUUGAAGUGAUGUUAACCAGUAAUUGCUGAUGGAGACGAACGCUGUGGUUUCCACAUCUUUCAUCCCCAUAAACAUGGACUAUUCAGACUGGGAAACGUGUUGCACAAAGAGAAACACGGUGUUUGUGUGUCCAGCUGGCCCGCAGCAUGACUCCCUGCUCUGAGCUGCUUUUCAGCCAGAAACUCUCAGAUUAUUUAGAGAAGCUGCGUUAACUCGUCUUCAUGAAUGCUUAUCAUGAUAAAUAUUGAUAUUUAUCUGGAGUUGUGCUCCAGUUCGUUGAGAAAUGAUGAAAUAUCAAUUGCUAAUUUGAAGCAAACUUUUAAAAUGUGAUGAAAAGUAAAAUGGGAAUUAGACGGAUUUCCAUCUGCUGGCACAAACCUGACCAGAGACUUCCUGUUUCCGUUUAACGGUUAGUGGGGAUUUGGGCUGGUUAGCGUUUAGCGGGGAUCUGUGCCGGUUAGCGGUUAGCGGGGAUCUGGGUUAGCGGUUAGCGGGGAUCUGGGCUGAUUAGCGUUUAGCGGGGAUCUGUGCCGGUUAGCGGUUAGCGGGGAUCUGGGUUAGCGGUUAGCGGGGAUCUGGGCUGAUUAGCGUUUAGCGGGGAUCUGUGCCGGUUAGCGGUUAGCGGGGAUCUGGGUUAGCGGUUAGCGGGGAUCUGGGCUGAUUAGCGUUUAGCGGGGAUCUGUGCCGGUUAGCGGUUAGCGGGGAUCUGGGUUAGCGGUUAGCGGGGAUCUGGGCUGAUUAGCGUUUAGCGGGGAUCUGUGCCGGUUAGCGGUUAGCGGGGAUCUGGGUUAGCGGUUAGCGGCUAGGAAGGAUCCAGCUCUAGAUCUGAUGCAAACGAGUCGCCUGAAGCAACACAAACAACAGGAAAGUUUCACCUGUCCGGUUCGGCCGCUUGGGGAAAACCCGGAUAAAAAACUGAUUUGUUUUCCUUUAACUGCAAUCAGCCGGAAAUCAUCUCCCUGCUAAUAAUUUGCAUGAUUUAUAACACUGUUUCAAUAUUUUCCCUUCAGGACAUAUUUGCAUAAAACAUUUCCAUAUCAAACGUUUUUUAUUUGCUUUCAAAUCAACCGAUCUGAAACUGAACGCUGCAAAAUACAAAAUCUUACCAAAUAGUUUUGUGUUGUUUCCAGUGCAAAUCUUGCUCGAAAGUUACUUGUAGUUAGUUUUAUCUUACAGUAAUAAAAUAUUUACCAUAAACUAAACAGAAAUACUUGAUAAAAUUUUGUGUUUUUGCAGUGAAAAUAUUUGAUUUUCAUAUAGAAACAGUCUAAAGUUAGAGAAUGAAGGAGAGAAAAAGACAGUAAUGGAUGUAAAAUGUCCAAAUAAGGACUUCCUGUCGGCUGCAGCUGCUGGUCCUGAGAUAAGAUGUCCGUUUGCCUGUUUGCUCAGCGAAGCCGAUCGCUUUGAGGCUUAUCGCUACCCAUCAAUCAUUCACAACGCUCCGGAUUACACAGGAAGCUGGAUUCAGGCGCGGGGGUCACAUCCUGCCGCCGUGUGGUUCUGGUUCUGAUGAAUGUUUUCACACCCUGCCGCAGACUUUAAUGGUUUUACUGGGAUUUUAUGUGAAACAUCAUAAACUGGUGGUGGCUUUCAUUUUAUGUCAAAUAAAAAUCCAAACGAGGCGUCAGGAAUCUGAGUUUAUCCUUUGGAGUUGAUUUCCUCCAGCCUGGAAACAUUCACACUGCAAAAACACAAAAUCUUACCACUUAAUUUAGUCAAUUUUCUACUGCAAAUGUCUCAGUUCACCUAAAAUAAAACAAUCGAACUUCAGAGUAACUUUUCACAAACUUAAGUCAAUAAUUCUCAAAUAUUGACAAAGUUUUCUUCCUAUGGCAGAAAUAAUCCCAUUAGAUUAUUCCACUAAUAAAAUGGGAAAAUGUGACAAAAAUGAUUUUUUGUUUUACAGUGUAAACCUCUCAGCUGCCUUUUUGUUUUACAAGUUAAAACUUUUCCUCCCCUCCCCGACCUGUUGCUGGUUCCAGCAUGAUGAACCUUCGUAGCCUGGGACUCGGAUCAAACGGGUCGUAGUUAAGCUGAAUUGAAGCCACACUUUUCAGAAUUUUAUUGACAUAAGUUUGGAUUUGGUUCUGACCCGGUUCUGGUUCUGGUGUGAUGAGGGUGUGAAAACGUUGCAGAGAGAAUUUAUCUGAUGUCUGGCGCUGAAGUGGGUCAGGUUUGCUUCGUGCUUCCAGAGUGGCUCCUGUAGACCGCCACGCUUCAGGCACUGGUUCUGGUUCUGGUGGUUCUGGUUCUGAUUCUGCUGACGUC